rfam:Ovis aries breed Texel chromosome 6, whole genome shotgun sequence.
UCCCUGGUGGCUCAGUUGGUAAAGUAUCCACCUGCAAUGCAGGAAACCCAGGUUCAAUCCCUGGGUAGGGAA